rnacentral:rRNA from 1 species
UACAGAGGGUGCAAGCGUUGUUCGGAAUUACUGGGCGUAAAGCGCGUGUAGGCGGUUUGGCAAGUCAGGCGUGAAAUCCCUUGGCUCAACCAAGGAAUUGCGUUUGAAACUGCUAGACUAGAGUAUCGGAGGGGGUGGCGGAAUUCCCGGUGUAGAGGUGAAAUUCGUAGAUAUCGGGAGGAACACCCGUGGCGAAGGCGGCCACCUGGAAGAUUACUGACGCUGAGACGCGAAAGCGUGGGGAGCAAACAGG